GAUGAACGCUGGCGGCGUGCCUAAUACAUGCAAGUCGAGCGAACGGACGAGAAGCUUGCUUCUCUGAUGUUAGCGGCGGACGGGUGAGUAACACGUGGAUAACCUACCUAUAAGACUGGGAUAACUUCGGGAAACCGGAGCUAAUACCGGAUAAUAUUUUGCACCGCAUGGUUCAAAAGUGAAAGACGGUCUUGCUGUCACUUAUAGAUGGAUCCGGGCUGCAUUGGCUAGUUGGUAAGGUAACGGCUUACCAAGGCAACGAUGCAUAGCCGACCGGAGAGGGGGGUCGGCCACACUGGAACUGAGACACGGUCCAGGCGCCUAAGGGAGGCAGCAGUAGGGAAUCUUCCGCAAUGGGCGAAAGCCUGACGGAGCAACGCCGCGUGAGUGAUGAAGGUCUUCGGAUCGUAAAACUCUGUUAUUAGGGAAGAACAGAUGUGUAAGUAACUGUGCACAUCUUGACGGUACCUAAUCAGAAAGCCACGGCUAACUACGUG
rnacentral:rRNA from 1 species